rnacentral:miRNA from 1 species
AACACACGUGGAUUGCGGUGAAUA